GCGCGAGUGGCGGAACUGGCAGACGCGCAGGACUUAGGAUCCUGUGGGGAAACCCGUCCCGGUUCGAAUCCGGGCUCGCGCA
rnacentral:tRNA from 1 species